rnacentral:rRNA from 1 species
UACGGGGGGAGCAAGCGUUGUUCGGAUUUACUGGGCGUAAAGGGCGCGUAGGCGGUCAGCACAAGUCAGUUGUGAAAUCUCCGGGCUUAACUCGGAAAGGUCAACUGAUACUGUGCGACUAGAGUGCGGAAGGGGCAACUGGAAUUCUUGGUGUAGCGGUGAAAUGCGUAGAUAUCAAGAGGAACACCUGCGGCGAAGGCGGGUUGCUGGGCCGACACUGACGCUGAGGCGCGAAAGCCAGGUGAGCGAACGGG